rnacentral:rRNA from 2 species
CGUAAACGAUGAGUGCUAAGUGUUAGGGGGUUUCCGCCCCUUAGUGCUGCAGCUAACGCAUUAAGCACUCCGCCUGGGGAGUACGACCGCAAGGUUGAAACUCAAAGGAAUUGACGGGGGCCCGCACAAGCGGUGGAGCAUGUGGUUUAAUUCGAAGCAACGCGAAGAACCUUACCAGGUCUUGACAUCCCACUGACCGGCUUAGAGAUAGGCUUUUCCCUUCGGGGACAGUGGUGACAGGUGGUGCAUGGUUGUCGUCAGCUCGUGUCGUGAGAUGUUGGGUUAAGUCCCGCAACGAGCGCAACCCUUGAUCUUAGUUGCCAGCAUUCAGUUGGGCACUCUAAGGUGACUGCCGGUGAUAAACCGGAGGAAGGUGGGGAUGACGUCAAAUCAUCAUGCCCCUUAUGACCUGGGCUACACACGUGCUACAAUGGACGAUACAAAGGGCUGCAAACCCGCGAGGGGGAGCCAAUCCCAUAAAAUCGUUCUCAGUUCGGAUUGUAGGCUGCAACUCGCCUACAUGAAGCCGGAAUCGCUAGUAAUCGUGGAUCAGCAUGCCACGGUGAAUACGUUCCCGGGCCUUGUACACACCGCCCGUCACACCACGAGAGUUUGUAACACCCGAAGUCGGUGAGGUAACCUUUACAGGAGCCAGCCGCCGAAGGUGGGACAGAUGAUUG